GGUCCAUUAGCUCAGCUGGUAGAGCACCUGACUCUUAAUCAGGGUGUCGUUGGUUCGAGCCCAACAUGGAUCACCA
rnacentral:tRNA from 1 species